GUCUAUGGUCAUGCUACCCUAAACAAGCCAAUCCCGUCUGAUCUCGGAAGCUAAGCAGGUUCAAGCUUGGUUAGUACUUGGAUGGGAGACAACCUAGGAAGACCAGGUGCUGUAGGCA
rnacentral:rRNA from 1 species